GCUUAAUUUGAUAUUAGCGGUUAUUUACGUUUGUGUCUUCUAAAAACUGUGAUUGUACCAAAAUGUGUUAAAGUCAAGGAGGGAAAGGGUGGUUUUGUUUUCGACAAUAGUUGUAUUAAAUGUAGAAUUUAUUAUCUGUAUAAUAAUCUGUGUGUUUGUAUUUAUAGGCUCUUUCAAAUGGCACCGGUGUCAGCGACGCAGUGCUUCAGUUGGUGAAUAUUCGCAAGCUUGAUGGAGGAAAUGGUCCUUCUCGCUUUCGGGUGAUGAUGAGUGAUGGAAGGCACACUCUGUCAUCAUUCAUGCUCUCCACCCAGCUGAACCAUAUGGCUGAGGAAAACAUACUGGCCCCAAACUGCAUCUGUAAUCUGAAGAGACACGUGACCAAUAUACUGAAGGAUGGAAG